rnacentral:rRNA from 1 species
AUUGAACGCUGGCGGCAGGCCUAACACAUGCAAGUCGAGCGAGCGGCGGACGGGUGAGUAAUGUCUGGGAAACUGCCUGCUGGAGGGGGAUAACUACUGGAAACGGUCGCUAAUACCGCAUACCAUCAGAUGUGCCCAUAUGGGGUUAGCUAGUAGGUGGGGUAACGGCUCACCUAGGCGACGAUCCCUAGCUGGUAUGAGAGGAUGACCAGCCACACUGGAAUUGAGACACGGUCCAGACUCCUACGGGAGGCAGCAGUGGGGAAUAUUGCACAAUGGGCGCAAUCCUGAUGCAGCCAUGCCGCGUGUGUGAAGAAGGCCUUCGGGUUGUAAAGCACUUUCAGCGGGGAGGCGUUACCCGCAGAAGAAGCACCGGCUAACUCCGUGCCAGCAGCCGCGGUAAUUC